GAUUAUGGCUCAGGACGAACGGCUGGCGGCGUGCCUAACACAUGCAAGUCGAGCGGGGACAUGCGACGGAAGUGAAGUUUCGGAUGGAGCGGAAGAUGUUGUUCUAGCGGCGGACGGGUGAGUAACGCGUGAGCAACCUGUCCCUUACAGGGGGAUAACACAGCGAAAGUUGUACUAAUACCGCAUAAGACCACGGGGAGACAUCUCCCAGGGGUCAAAGGAGUAAUCCGGUAAGGGGUGGGCUCGCGUCCGAUUAGAUAGUUGGUGAGGUAACGGCCCACCAAGUCGACGAUCGGUAGCCGACCUGAGAGGGUGAUCGGCCACAUUGGGACUGAGACACGGCCCAACUCCUACGGGAGGCAGCAGUGGGGAAUAUUGGGCAAUGGGGGAAACCCUGACCCAGCAACGCCGCGUGAGGGAAGAAGGUUUUCGGAUCGUAAACCUCUGUCCUUGGUGAAGAGAAAGAGACGGUAGCCAAGGAGGAAGCCCCGGCUAACUACGUGCCAGCCGCAGC
rnacentral:rRNA from 1 species